CAGUCGCCGCGGGAAUACGUAGGUCCCGAGCGUUGUCCGGAUUUAUUGGGCGUAAAGCGAGCGCAGGCGGUUAGAUAAGUCUGAAGUUAAAGGCUGUGGCUUAACCAUAGUACGCUUUGGAAACUGUUUAACUUGAGUGCAGAAGGGGAGAGUGGAAUUCCAUGUGUAGCGGUGAAAUGCGUAGAUAUAUGGAGGAACACCGGUGGCGAAGGCGGCUCUCUGGUCUGUAACUGACGCUGAGGCUCGAAAGCGUGGGGAGCGAACAGGAUUAGAUACCCCAGUAGUCCCUGUCUCUUAUACA
rnacentral:rRNA from 1 species